AGGGUUUCCUCAACCCUCAUACGCCACCACUCAGCCUCGCGCGCCGUCGAUGCCCCGAUCUCCGAUCGCUACAGAGAGGGGCACCAACUCGGCAAUUCCAGCGAAAAAGGUAGGUUUUCUCUUCCUUUCUUUAUAUUUUAAGCAAAAAUAAAUAAAAAAUAGCGAAACUAAAAAAAAUCAAAUAUAUAUAUGUACAAAUGAAGAAAAAAAAAAUGAAAGAACGAUAAUCGACAAAAUGGUAAAACAAAAAAGAAAACCUUUUUAUUUCAAAAAAAAGAAAAUUUCCUCUGUGCCUUUGUAUUUCUUUCGGUCCCUCUAUUUUCGUAUCUUUUUUUACACUCAAUCAUCCCCCCGUUACAAAGUGAAAGUGGCCUUUUAUAGGCUGAAAAAGAAAAAGAAAAUAAAUCGAUAAUGCUAUUUCUUUGCUGGUUUUUCUCCUCCGGAUUCUUUGAGUCUGUUUUUUGCAGGUGUCAUGGGGAGCAAAUGGCGCGCGUGGAGAGGGAAGUUCCGAGACGUGCAAUGGCCGGGGUCUUGCUGGUGGCUACUAUGCGGCUAGGGUUUUGCUUAGGUUUUUUUUUAUUUAGUUGAGUUUUGGGUUAAUGUUUGGGUCUUGGGCUGGGGUCAAUUGGGUAUUGGGUUUUAAUUUUAUUGGGCCUGCUAUUGUAUUCUAUUAUUGGUAGGGCCGGGCAAAUAAUUGGUAUUACAACUGCCCCUCUUUGCUCGUUAUCGUGUGACGAGAAUGGAGCAAAGACUUAAAAAGACCAAUUUUUGCCUGGCCGUAUGGACCUUAGCGUUAGUAGCCUCGUUCCUUCCUACUGCAUCUUCAGAGGUAUAGGAACUGGUGCUUCAACCUACUCCACUGGAAUGUUAGG
rnacentral:lncRNA from 1 species